UACGUAGGCAGCAAGCGUUGUUCGGAGUUACUGGGCGUAAAGGGUGCGUAGGCGGUUGUUUAAGUUUGGUGUGAAAUCUCCCGGCUCAACUGGGAGGGUGCGCCGAAUACUGAAUGACUAGAGUGCGGGAGAGGAGAGUGGAAUUCCUGGUGUAAGCGGUGAAAUGCGUAGAUAUCAGGAGGAACACCGGUGGUGUAGACGGCUCUCUGGACCGUAACUGACGCUGAGGCACGAAAGCGUGGGUAGCAAACAGG
rnacentral:rRNA from 1 species